rnacentral:rRNA from 1 species
GUGAACGCUGGCGGCAUGGCUAAAGCAUGCAAGUCGAACGCGAAUUCACCCGCAAGGGUGAUAGUAGAGUGGCGGACGGGCGAGUAAUACUUUCCUAACGUGCCUCAAGGACAGGGAUAGCUCGGGGAAACCCGGGGUAAUACCUGAUAACCCCACUUGGUCGCAUGGUCGGGUGGGCAAAGGCUUGAUACCUUGAGAUCGGGGAAAGCACUAUCAGGUAGUUGGUGAGGUAACGGCUCACCAAGCCGAAGACGGUUAGCGGGUGUGAGAGCAUGACCCGCCGCAUCGGGACUGAGACACUGCCCGGACUCCUACGGGAGGCUGCAGCGACGAAUCUUCCGCAAUGGGCGCAAGCCUGACGGAGCAAUGCCGCGUGCGGGACGAAGCCCUUCGGGGUGUAAACCGCUGUCAGGGUUUAACAACACAACUGAGUAAACCCAAAGGAAGGGCCGGCUAACUCUGUGCCAGCAGCCGCGGUAAUACAGAGGGCCCGAGCGUUACGCGGAAUCACUGGGCUUAAAGGGUGCGUAGGCGGAAGCCUAAGUGUCUCGUGAAAUCCCACGGCUCAACCGUGGAAUUGCGGGGCAUACUGGGUUUCUUGAGGCUGGUAAGCGCCGCCGGAACUGUAGGUGUAGCGGUGAAAUGCGUAGAUAUCUACAGGAACGCCGAUGGUGAAGACGGGCGGCUGGGCCAGUUCUGACGCUGAGGCACGAAAGCGUGGGGAUCAAACAGGAUUAGAUACCCUGGUAGUCCACGCCGUAAACGAUGCAUACUAGACCUUGGAGGCUCUGACGCCGACAGGUUCGAAGUCAAAACGCUUAGUAUGCCGCCUGGGGAGUACGGUCGCAAGGCUAAAACUCAAAGGAAUUGACGGGGGCUCACACAAGCGGUGGAGCAUGUGGCUCAAUUCGAAGCAACGCGAAGAACCUUAUCCUGGGCUUGACAUGCACGGAUUAACGGCCUGAAAGGGUCGCCACACUCGCAAGAGUGGAACGUGCACAGGUGCUGCAUGGCUGUCGUCAGCUCGUGCUGUGAAGUGUCGGGUUAAGUCCCUUAACGAGCGAAACCCCUGCCUCUAGUUGCCCACGCGUCAUGGCGUGCACUCUAGCGGGACUGCCGGUGUCAAACCGGAGGAAGGUGGGGACGACGUCAAGUCCUCAUGGCCUUUAUGCCCAGGGCUGCACACGUGCUACAAUGGCGCCUACAAACCGAGCCGAAGCCGCGAGGCAGAGGAAAUCGGAAAAAAGGCGCCCCAGUUCAGAUCGCAGUCUGCAACUCGACUGCGUGAAGCCGGAAUCGCUAGUAAUCGCGGAUCAGCUACGCCGCGGUGAAUAAGUUCCUGAGCCUUGUACACACCGCCCGUCAAGUCAUGGGAGCCGGGAAUACCCGAAGUGGCCGAGAUUCAUCGGUCCCUACGGUAGGCUCGGUGACUGGGACU